GAUGAAGAACGUAGCAAAAUGCGAUAAGUAAUGUGAAUUGCAGAAUUCAGUGAAUCAUCGAAUCUUUGAACGCACAUUGCGCCCCUUGGUAUUCCAUGGGGCAUGCCUGUUCGAGCGUCAUUUGUACCCUCAAGCUUUGCUUGGUGUUGGGCGUCUUGUCGUAUUACGACUCGCCUUAAAUACAUUGGCAGCCGGCACUUUGGCCUAGGAGCGCAGCACAUUUUGCGAUCGUAGCCCGUUGUACUGGCGUCCAUCAAGAACAUUUACCACGUUUGACCUCGGAUCAGGUAGGGAUACCCGCUGAACUUAAGCAUAUCAAUAAGCGGAGGA
rnacentral:misc_RNA from 1 species